UCCCUGGUGGCUCAGACGGUAAAGCAUCUGCCUGCAAUGCGGGAGACCCGGGUUUGAUUCCUGGGUUGGGAA
rnacentral:tRNA from 1 species